UCCCUGGAGGACUAGUGGUUAGGCCUUGGUGCUCUCACCACCGUGGCAUAGGUUCGAUUCCCAGCCAGGGAA
rnacentral:tRNA from 1 species